rnacentral:rRNA from 1 species
CCCUUAACGAGGAACAAUUGGCAGGGCAAGUCUGGUGCCAGCAGCCGCGGUAAUUCCAGCUCCAAUAGCGUAUAUUCAACAGUUGUUGCAGUUAAAAAGCUCGUAGUUGAACCUUGGGCCUUGGCCCGGCCGGU